AAUCCUUUCUGUUGUUAUUUUUCCUAUUUAGAUUUUGGAGCAUACCUUGUUCUUUUGGGUUUUGAAAUUUGUUACUUAGCAUUUUGCUCUGUUUCAUUGAUAUCUUCUUACAAAUAUCACUGUGUUUUUUUUUUCGGAACAAGCUAUAUGCUUCAGAUUGAGGUGCUAUCAAAUGUUUUGAAUUGGUUUCAAACACUACCAACAAUUUCUUAGUUUUUAUAAGUCUUGGUGAAGAGAUUACUUUUUUUUUUCACCUUGAAAGGGAACAAUUCGGGCCUUUUUGUAUGAUUGAAGCAGUGUUCUUUCCAUAGUGUAGUUUACUACUGUCUCAGAUCAGAAUCUUUCAGUGUGGGUUUAGCGGGUUUAGUAUAUGGACAAUGGUUUCCCUCAUUAUAUUCUUGGUCAAAUAUGAUACUGUCAUGCUAGCUAUGGAAAAUUUUAGAAUAAGAUUUUAAUCAAUUUUAGAAUAGUAAAUUCUCCUAGCGUAGGCCUUCUUUUUUCACCCAGAAAUUAGGGCUUCUCGCUUGUGUAACUGUAGUAUAUUUAUUUGGAGAUCAGAAAACUAUAGCAAUUGCUAUGUAGUUGCUUAGGAGGGUCUUCAACCUUAACCUUGUAGGAGUAAAUUGCAAGCCCGACCAUUUGUGCUGCCCUCUUAAGCCAGAGUAGGUUUUGAACGUAUGACUAUAUAAUUUUUAUGUAUAUAUAUAUUUAUAUAUUUUAAUUUUUAUCUUGUUUGGUGCCUUUUCUGAAACUCUCCACAAAACUAGUAAACAAAGUUUUAGGGAAUUUGAACUAAUGAUGUGAAUUCAAAUUAAAGUCAAUUGAUUUGAAAUGAAACGAAAACACUGAAUUUCCUAUUCAACUUGUGAUGCCAAAUAAUUUUAUUUUAUUUUUUUAUUUUUCUGAAAAGGUCUUAUUUUGUUAAUCGUCUAAUAAUAAUUUUGUUAAUGAGCAGCAUACAGUUAUGUAUAUACAAAAAGAUUUCAUAUAGGAUUCAUUUGUGGUUAAAGAAAUCUUAUAUGUUGUCUCUUUAAACUGUGAAUGCCAGAGCUGAUGUAACCAAUUAAUAUUCAUUCUGAACAAUUAAUUGGGGUUCUAUAGAAAUACAUUAAAUUCUAACAAAUUAAACGCAUAUAUUUUUUUUUAGGCUUUAUCAGGUUCGGCUUAAAAUCUACGAGCUACUUGUCAAUUGUAUACCUCCGGAGAUCAUCUUGAAGAGGCUGCUUUACGAGUUACCGAGGAAAUUAGACGCAGAAUUGAAGCACGAGGUUUGCCACUGGGCGGCAUAUUAUGAACACAGGAUGCGACUUGGACAAAAAGCUAUAUUUCACAUUGAAGCGUUUGUGGCCAAGUUCAUGAGCAUUUACAAGUCUCUUCUUAUUGCAACAUUUGGCUGAGUAACAGAAUGUGGAAGUGUGUUGGAAAUUGUUGUAACAGUUUUAGGUGAUUCCAUCUUCCUAGACUAGACUUUGUACAUUUGGUUCAACCACACCCAUUUUUAUAUUAAAAUGUUAGAAUUUUCGGGCUAAGUUCACCAAAUCUAAGAAACUUUUUAAUUUUAAAUACAUGACAUAAAUUAAAAGGACAAAAGAGGCAUAUAAAAUACCAUAUCUUGCCCAUAAUUGAGGUUCAACUCCCCUGCAUUCCAAGAUCAAGAAUGGAAGCUUGGGCUUCAAUGCUUUCAAAUCUUGGUAGUUUUUCUCUACAGAUGCUCUGCCAAAUAAAAGAGCACAAAUCAUUUCUGUAAGUCAUUAACAAAAGUCCUUAUUUUGAGUUAAUUAUGUGUUAUUAUUUGUUAAUCUUACUUUUUUAAUAAAAAUAAACAGUUUCAUUAUCUUAUAUUUUUGAGUUAUUUGUGUGAUAUUAUUUGUUUUUAUUUAUUUGUUAUGGAACCGGUUCUGUAUAUAUUUAUGCCUUAGUAUUUUUGGAAUUGAUCCCCACAUUUUCUUCAGAAAAACAUUAUAAGCAGUUUUAUGAGGUAUUAUGUGCUAUUUAUUUUUGUUCAUUUUGUUGUGGAACUAAUUUUUUUUAAUUUAUAUUUCAGUACUUUAGGAAUUGAUUUCUUCUUUGUCUUUUAAUUAUAACCGGUUUGAAUUAUUCUGUGUUAUUUAUUUUUAUUCAUUAUAUUAUAGAACCAGUUCUAUUUUAAUUAUAAACGGUUUGAGUUAUUUGGUGUUAUUUGUUUUUAUUUAUUAUAAGACUGUUAUAAAACCGGUUCUAUUUUAAUUAUAACCGGUUUGAGUUAUUCAUUGUUAUUUGUUUUUAUUUAUUAUAAGACUGUUAUAGAACCAGUUCUAUUUUAAUUAUAAUUGGUUUGAGUUAUUUUGUGUUAUUUGUUUUUAUUGAUUAUGUUAUAAAACCGGUUCUAUUUGAAUUAUAACCGGUUCUAUUUUAAUGAUAACCGGUUUGAGUUAUUUAGUGUUAUUUAUUUUUAUUUAUUAUAAGACUGUUAUAGAACCGGUUCUAUUUUAAUUAUAACCGGUUAGAGUUAUUCAUUGUUAUAUGUUUUUAUUUAUUAUAAGACUGUUAUAGAGCCGAUUCUAUUUUAAUUAUAAUUGGUUUGAGUUAUUUUGUGUUAUUUGUUUUUAUUGAUUAUGUUAUAAAACCGGUUCUAUUUGAAUUAUAACCGGUUCUAUUUUAAUUAUAAUCGGUUUGAGUUAUUUAGUGUUAUUUAUUUUUAUUUAUUAUAAGACUGUUAUAGAACAGGUUCUAUUUUAAUUAUAACCGGUUUGAGUUAUUCGUUGUUAUUUAUUUUUAUUUAUUAUAAGACGGUUAUAGAACUGGUUCUAUUUUAAUUAUAAUUGGUUUGAGUUAUUUUGUGUUAUUUGUUUUUAUUGAUUAUGUUAUAAAACCGGUUCUAUUUGAAUUAUAAGCGUUCUAUUUUAAUUAUAACCGGUUUGAAUUAUUUAGUGUUAUUUGUUUUUAUUUAUUAUAAGACUAUUAUAGAACCGGUUUGAGUUAUUCGUUGUUAUUUGUUUUUAUUUAUUAUAAGACUGUUAUAGAACUGGUUCUAUUUUAAUUAUAAUUGGUUUGAGUUAUUUUAUGUUAUUUGUUUUAUUGAUUAUGUUAUAAAACCGGUUCUAUUUGAAUUAUAACUGGUUCUAUUUUAAUUAUAACCGGUUUGAGUUAUUUAUUGUUAUUUGUUUUUAUUUAUUAUAAGAUUGUUAUAGAACUGGUUCUAUUUUAAUUAUAGCCGGUUUGAGUUAUUUGUUUUUAUUUAUUAUAAGAUUGUUAUAGAACUGGUUCUAUUUUAAUUAUAAUUGGUUUGAGUUAUUUUGUGUUAUUUGUUUUUAUUGAUUAUGUUAUAAAACCGGUUCUAUUUUAAUUAUAACAGGUUUGAGUUAUUCAUUAUUAUUUGUUUUUAUUUAUUUUGUUAUAGAACUUGUUCUAUUUUAGUUUAUAUUUGAGACAUUUAACUCCGAUGACUUUUUCAAUAUCAGUGAUUUUUCCAGCAAUUUUUUCGAUACUAAUGACUUUUAUUGAAUUAUUUAUUUUAGAAAUUGAUU